rnacentral:rRNA from 1 species
GAUAUUUUUAUUAAUAUUUUUUUAAUUUUUUUUCUUUUUAAAAAAAUAUUUUUGUUUUAAGUAUAAUUUUUUGAAAAAAAUAUAAGAUUUAUAGUUUAUAUUACUGUGAAGGAAAUAUAAAUAAUUAUAUAUAAGUAAUUAUUAUUAAUAUACCUUUUGUAUCAGGGUUUAUCAAUUUAUAAAAUAUAUUCAUUUUUUUCUCGAAAUUUUAAGGUAUAUAACAAAAUUACAUUUAAUGUUUUAAUAUUAUUAUUAAUUUUGUUAUAGUGAAUAUAUUUUAUUCAAUUAAAAAUAUCUAGUUUUCCUAGAAAUAAAUUUAAUUUAUGAUUAUUUUUGCUUAUAAAAUAUAUGAAUAUAUAAUCAGCAAUCAUUUAGGAUAAGCUAAAUGAUAAUUCUAAAAAUAUUUAUUAUUUAAUUUAUAGUAGGUUUAGAAAUAUCCAUCAUUUAUUUUUUAAUAAUUAAUUUUUAUAUAAUUUUUAUAUAAUUAAUAUUUUAGUUAUUUAUAGGAAUAAAUAUUAUAAUAUAAUAAUAUUUUAAUAAUGAUAAAAUAAGUAUUUUAUAUAUAUAAAAUAUAGUAACUCGGCAAAUAUUAUUUUCGCCUGUUUAACAAAAACAUGGUCUUUUGUUUAUAUAAAAGAUCUAACCUGCCCUAUGAUUUAUUUAAAUGGCUGCAGUAUUUUGACUGUACAAGGUAGCAUAAUCAUUUGUCUUUUAAUUGAAGGCUUGUAUGAAUGGUUGGAUGAAAAAUAUACUUUCUUUAUUUUAUAUAAAAAAUUUAAUUUUCUAGUCAAAAAGCUAGGAUUUUUUUAUAGGACGAGAAGACCCUAUAGAACUUUAUUUUCUUUUUUUAUAAACUUUAUAGAUAAAUAUAAGUUUAUAUAUUUUUGUUAAUUUUGUUGGGGUGAUUGAAAAAAUUUUUUAACUUUUUCUAUUUUUUACAUUUAUAUAUGUUUUUUUGAUCCUUUAUUAUGGAAUAAAAGAUUAAGUUACCUUAGGGAUAACAGCGUUAUUUUUUUGGAGAGUUCUUAUCGAUAAAAAAGUUUGCGACCUCGAUGUUGGAUUAAAUUAAGUAAUAGGAGUAGAAUAUUAUUUACUAGGUCUGUUCGACCUUUAAAUUUUUACAUGAUCUGAGUUCAGACCGGCGUGAGCCAGGUCGGUUUCUAUCCUUAAAUUAAUUAAAAAAUUUUAGUACGAAAGGACCAAAUUUUAUGAAUAAUUUAUAUUAAAUGAUUAUACUAAUUUUUAAU